UUCCCUACGCCUCUCCAUGCAUCCCUGGUGGGAUGGACUGAGACGCAAAGCAAAGAAUCAAGAGAGGGAAACGUGGAUGCACUUAAGAGACUCGGGAUGCGCCCGUAGACAGAGACAGACAGGGGAGCGCUAGGAAUGCAUGGAAGGGGACAAAACAAGACAACACUGGAGUCUAAAGAAGAAAAGAAUGCACAGUUUAGAUCUACAAAAGGUUUGCUCUUAAUCUUCCUGGGAAUCUUCAAAAAUGUGGAUGUGGCGGACAUUGCCCCCCUUACAUAUCCUGGAGUCUCUUAUUGCUCAUUGCAGCAGGAGGGAGAGACAAGAACUGAAUCUGCAGAACGGCAUCACAACACAAUGCAAUUCAACAGUUUAAAAAUUUAAAUGUAUUUAAUAAAUGCAUGAGGGCUGCACCUGUGGCCACUUUGGAAUUAAACUGAAGUAAUAUUUA